GGGCCUGUAGCUCACCUGGUAGAGCGCUUGCAUGGCAUGCAAGAGGUAAGGGGUUCGAUCCCCCUCAGGUCCACCC
rnacentral:tRNA from 1 species